rnacentral:rRNA from 1 species
UACGGGGGGGGCAAGCGUUGUUCGGAAUUACUGGGCGUAAAGCGAGUGUAGGCGGCUUGGCAAGUCGGAUGUGAAAGCCCCGGGCUCAACCCGGGAAGUGCACUCGAUACUGCUUAGCUUGAGUGUCGGAGAGGUUGGUGGAAUUCUCGGUGUAGAGGUGAAAUUCGUAGAUAUCGAGAGGAACAUCGGCGGCGAAGGCGGCCAACUGGACGAACACUGACGCUGAGACUCGAAAGCGUGGGGAGCAAACAGG